UCUCGUCUGAUCUCGGAAGCUAAGCAGGGUUGGGCCUGGUUAGUUCUUGGAUGGGA
ensembl:miRNA